AAUGUCUGCCAAGUAGCGGGAACCCGUACAACCGAACUUGUGUUUUCUGCGAAAGACCACAAGCUCGCUUUUACGGGUGUGCGUUGCUGUGGGCCUCUCGG
rnacentral:pre_miRNA from 1 species